UAGAUUACUGGUUCUACAGACAGAGGAGGGGGAUAGGUAGAUUACUGGUUCUACAGACAGAGGAGGGGGAUAGGUAGAUUACUGGUUCUACAGACAGAGGAGGGGGAUAGGUAGAUUACUGGUUCUACAGACAGAGGAGGGGGAUAGGUAGAUUACUGGUUCUACAGACAGGUACAGAGGAGGGGGAUAGGUAGAUUACUGGUUCUACAGACAGAGGAGGGGGAUAGGUAGAUUACUGGUUCUACAGACAGAGGAGGGGGAUAGGUAGAUUACUGGUUCUACAGACAGAGGAGGGGGAUAGGUAGAUUACUGGUUCUACAGACAGAGGAGGGGGAUAGGUAGAUUACUGGUUCUACAGACAGAGGAGGGGGAUAGGUAGAUUACUGGUUCUACAGACAGGUACAGAGGAGGGGGAUAGGUAGAUUACUGGUUCUACAGACAGAGGAGGGGGAUAGGUAGAUUACUGGUUCUACAGACAGAGGAGGGGGAUAGGUAGAUUACUGGUUCUACAGACAGAGGAGGGGGAUAGGUAGAUUACUGGUUCUACAGACAGAGGAGGGGGAUAGGUAGAUUACUGGUUCUACAGACAGAGGAGGGGGAUAGGUAGAUUACUGGUUCUACAGACAGAGGAGGGGGAUAGGUAGAUUACUGGUUCUACAGACAGGUACAGAGGAGGGGGAUAGGUAGAUUACUGGUUCUACAGACAGAGGAGGGGGAUAGGUAGAUGACUGGUUCUACAGACAG